rnacentral:rRNA from 1 species
CGUUCCCGGGCCUUGUACACACCGCCCGUCAAGUCACGAAAGUUGGUAACACCCGAAGCCGGUGGCCUAACCCCUUGUGGGAGGGAGCUGUCGAAGGUGGGGCUGGCGAUUGGGACU